rnacentral:rRNA from 1 species
ACUCCUACGGGGAGGCAGCAGUGGGGAAUAUUGCGCAAUGGACGAAAGUCUGACGCAGCGACGCCGCGUGGAGGAUGAAGGUUUUCGGAUCGUAAACUCCUGUCAAGAGGGAAGAAACCUAUUAUGAAUAAUACUCAUAGUAAUUGACGGUACCUCUAGAGGAAGCACCGGCUAAUUCAGUGCCAGCAGCCGCGGUAAUACUGAAGGUGCAAGCGUUAAUCGGAAUCACUGGGCGUAAAGCGCUCGUAGGUGGCUUUGUAAGUCAGGUGUGAAACGCCCACGGCUCAACCGUGGAAUUGCACUUUGAUACUGCAUCGCUAGAGUAUAGGAGAGGGAAGUUGGAAUUUCUGGUGUAGGAGUGAAAUCCGUAGAGAUCAGAAGGAACACCGGUGGCGAAGGCGACUUCCUGGACUAUUACUGACACUGAGGAGCGAAAGCGU